rnacentral:rRNA from 1 species
UACGGGGGGGGCAAGCGUUGUUCGGAAUUACUGGGCGUAAAGGGUGCGUAGGCGGUUCGCUAAGUUGGAUGUGAAAUCUCUGGGCUCAACCUGGAGAGGUUGUCCGAUACUGCUGAACUGGAGGGCAGUAGAGGGUGGUGGAAUUCCGGGUGUAGUGGUGAAAUGCGUAGAGAUCCGGAGGAACACCAGUGGCGAAAGCGGCCACCUGGACUGCACCUGACGCUGAAACGCGAAAGCUAGGGGAGCGAACGGG